UUAGUUUGGUGCAAAAGUAAUUGCAGUUUUUGCCAUUACUUUAAUGGUAAAAAUCACCAUCACUUUUUCACCAACCUAA
rnacentral:miRNA from 1 species